UUGGAGAUGGGCCAGAUGGCCUCAUUUUUCAUCAUAAUUAAAACAAAAAUUACAAGUAGCGUGAUUGGGACUUGGAAGGAUUGUAGAAGCCCAUUUGAGUGCAGCAACAUUUUAUUCUUACAUUCUAGCCCAUCCAUAGACAAAAUUUAGUGUUGUAGGCUUUAGCAUUCUUACCUAGUACCUUAUCUCUUCUCGUAGGCCACUUAUAAAGCAACUUAGUUUAUAAGGCUCAGCUGGUUAGAAAUCACUUCAAAUUCUGACUUGUAGGCUUCUACUGUAGAUGGCUACUUCAACCUUGUUAAGUCAACCAUAGGUCUUCAAAUGCAGAUGGGCCGAAUCUAGUUUGAAGGGCAAUUAAGAAUCCCCUGCAACUAGUUAUCCCACCCGUAGCUUCUAAAUCCUGAUACCAAGAAAGAGCCUUCCCAUCUAUGUAGAAUGAAGCCAAAACCAACCUAUGUAGAGGGUUGGUUUGGGUGUAGGCAAAAAACUUAUUUGCCCUAUAGAUCCUACCUUUAGGAUCCUCUCCAUUAAAAUGAGGUAAAUCCACUAUGGCAGAGCGGAUUUGAAUACCUCCCAAAUCUUCUACUGGUUAAAUGUGGGCUGUGGGGUUCGAAUUUGCUUGUUGACUUACACUAUUAAUAGGUUCUGGUUCAUCAACCUUUUUGCCUUUCUGCUUCACUAGAGUGGCCAUAUGAGUGGAAAGUGUCAGCAUCUAUUGGGUUAAGGCCUCCAUGGUCUGUUGGUGCUCUGCCAGAAAUUGCAAGAACCUCUAUUCGGUAGCUUCUUGUUGUGCCACCUGAGACUCCUUCAGGUUAGCCAUCGCCUUCUCCACUUGUGUGUACCGGGUCUCCAUUAAAGGACAACCUGACUCUGAUACCAAAUUGUUAGAAACCAACUCGAUAUAUGAGUGAAAUAUAACAACGAACACUCAGGGCGAGAAUUUUGA
rnacentral:lncRNA from 1 species